AGAAGAAAAGAAACUUCAGGAGCAAUCAGUAUAUCACUGUGUCGGAACCAAGUUUCGCAAACACAUCGUCUAAAACACUAGAAUAGAGGAGGCAAUAGUGUAAUAGUCUCAUGAGUACCAGGUAACAGAUGCUGCAAAGAAUGUCCAAAUUGCACAAAGAGAUAGAAAUUAUCGGUGCACGACUUUUUUAAACAAGGAAAAGGUCCCUUUUACGAUCCUGAGCUGACAAAUUAGCUAUGAACAGAACGACUGAAGUUGUAGAAACCAUGAGAACAAUUUUAACAGAUAUAUAUGACGCAAGAAGUUGCGUAGUUUC